rnacentral:rRNA from 1 species
ACUCCUACGGGAGGCAGCGAGUAGGGAAUCUUCCACAAUGGACGAAAGUCUGAUGGAGCAACGCCGCGUGAGUGAAGAAGGGUUUCGGCUCGUAAAACUCUGUUGUUAAAGAAGAACAUAUCUGAGAGUAACUGUUCAGGUAUUGACGGUAUUUAACCAGAAAGCCACGGCUAACUACGUGCCAGCAGCCGCGGUAAUACGUAGGUGGCAAGCGUUGUCCGGAUUUAUUGGGGCGUAAAGCGAGCGCAGGCGGUUUUUAAGUCUGAUGUGAAAGCCUUCGGCUCAACCGAAGAAGUGCAUCGGAAACUGGGAAACUUGAGUGCAGAAGAGGACAGUGGAACUCCAUGUGUAGCGGUGAAAUGCGUAGAUAUAUGGAAGAACACCAGUGGCGAAGGCGGCUGUCUGGUCUGUAACUGACGCUGAGGCUCGAAAGUAUGGGUAGCAAACAGGAUUAGAUACCCUGGUAGGAUAGCG